rnacentral:rRNA from 1 species
GACGAACGCUGGCGGCGUGCUUAACACAUGCAAGUCGAACGGAAAGGCCCUGCUUUUGUGGGGUGCUCGAGUGGCGAACGGGUGAGUAACACGUGAGUAACCUGCCCUUGACUUUGGGAUAACUUCAGGAAACUGGGGCUAAUACCGGAUAGGAGCUCCUGCUGCAUGGUGGGGGUUGGAAAGUUUCGGCGGUUGGGGAUGGACUCGCGGCUUAUCAGCUUGUUGGUGGGGUAGUGGCUUACCAAGGCUUUGACGGGUAGCCGGCCUGCGAGGGUGACCGGCAACAUUGGGACUGAGAUACGGCCCAGACUCCUACGGGAGGCAGCAGUGGGGAAUAUUGCACAAUGGGCGGAAGCCUGAUGCAGCAACGCCGCGUGCGGGAUGACGGCCUUCGGGUUGUAAACCGCUUUCGCCUGUGACGAAGCGUGAGUGACGGUAAUGGGUAAAGAAGCACCGGCUAACUACGUG